rnacentral:tRNA from 1 species
GGGGGCUUAGCUCAGCUGGCUAGAGCGUCUGCUUUGCACGCAGAAGGUCAUCGGUUCGACUCCGUUAGCCUCCACCA